GUGAGUCAUCGAAUCUUUGAACGCACCUUGCGCUCCUUGGUAUUCCGAGGAGCAUGCCUGUUUGAGUGUCAUUAAUAUAUAUAUCAAACUUUCUCUUUGUUGAGUGGUUUGGAUGUGGGGGUUUGCUGGCCUCUUAAAAAAGGUUCAGCUCCUCUGAAAUGCAUUAGCAGAACAAACCUGUUCAUUGGUGUGAUAACUAUCUACGCUAUUGAAUGUAAGGGGCAGUUCAGCUUUCUAAUGGUCUUUGGACAAUUCAUCAUUAAUGUGACCUCAAAUCAGGUAGGACUACCCGCUGAACUUAAGCAUAUCAAUAAGCGGAGG
rnacentral:rRNA from 1 species